GCAGGCACCUUUGUGGAUGAAGGAAGACAUCUCAUUGUGGUUUUGAUUUGCAUGUCUCUAAUGAAACUGAGCAUCUUUUCAUGGCCUUUAUUUGGCUGUUUGAUUUGGAAAAAUGUCUAUAGCCUUUUGUCCGUUUUUAAAUUCCAGCUUUGAGUUUUGUUUGUGUUUCUUUUUGAGACAGGGUCUCACUGCUACUCUGGCCUAGAACAAACAGAAAUUCACCUACUCCGCCUCCUAAAGUGCUAAAGGUCUUCACCCCCAUGCCUGGCUUGGUUUUAAACCUCUUUUUUUUGGUUUUAAAUUUUUAAGUGGCUUGGUUUUUGCUUUUUUUGAAACUGCAAACUUGAUAGGUAGCUGAGGACUGACUUGGGACUCCUCCCUCCCUUUGCUGCUUCUCACCACAUGCGGGGUGAGUGUGCAUCACCACAUCAGUCCUGUGUGUGUGUGUGUGUGUGUGUGUGUGUGUGUGUGUGUGUUAUUUUGUAUUGUUGAGUUGAGAGUUCUUAAUUUUAUAUAUGAUUUACAAGUAUUUUCUCUUAUUCUCUCUGCUCUUUUCACCUUUUUGUUGGUCCCUUGAAACACAGAUAGUUUACCUGUGAUGGUUUUGUGGCUUGUGCUUUUGAUAUUAGUUCCAAGGUUGGAAAAAUCCCCCCUUCCCUUUUUUUUUCCUCCAAGGUUGCAAAAAUUCCUUUGUUUUCUAACAGUUUUAUGGAUUUUACAUUUAGGUCUGUUAUUUUUUGUAUAUGGUUGUGAGGGCACCAGUCUCAUUCUUGGAACUUUACAGUUGUUUGGCCCCAUUUGUUGAAAAGAUGGUUUCUCUGGUAUCCUUGAAGGUCAGUUGCAGGGCAUUACCUCAGGAAUCUGUUAUUUGGUCUGUUGGCCAUCCUGUCUUCAUUAGUUUUGUAGUUAGGCUUGAAACCAGUACCAGGGGUCUGUCUCCCCCCACCCCCACCUCCGUUCUCAUUUUCAGGGUUGUGUUGGUCCCCUGGUGUUUCUAUGUGAAUUUUAGCAUCACUUGUCUGUUUUAAUGAAAAAGUUGAGCUUUGGAUAAGAACAGUUUGUAGAUCAGCUUAGAUAAUAUUUUAAUGACAUUAUUCUUUAUUUUUAUAUCUUUAUUCAUAAAUACUUUCUAGUUAUUUAGGCUUUUAAUUUUUUUCAAAGAUGUACUAUGUUUUAAGUACAUAAUUUGUACUUCUUUUUAAAAAUUCAUUCCUGAGUAUUCUGUGGUUUUGAUGCUAUUAGAAAUGGAAUUGUCUACUGCAUUAGUUGGUAAAAGAGAUAGAAACCAGGAGCUUAAAUAAUCAUAUUGAGCAUAUACUCCACCCAGCUAUCCCCAGUUCCCGCUGUCAGUGAAUUCAGAUAGGUUUACAUCCUCCUUUCUGAUCUUGCUGUGUUGGACCUAUUGACCGAGGUCUCCUUCCAUUUCACUUAAGACUUAGUAUUGUUGUAAUUUGUUUGUUUAUUUAAUUCUGUGUGUGUGUGGCUGUUUUGCCUGUAUGUAUGUCUGCCCGUGAAGGCAGAAGAAGGUGUUGGAUCUCCUGGAACUGGAGUUAGAGAUGGUUGUGAGCUGCCACCAAACAUGAGUCCUCUAAAGAACAGCUGGUUUUCUUAACCACUGUGCCAUAUCUCUAGCCCCUGUUGUUUUUGUCUGUUUCAUAAUAGUAUUGAAAAAGAAUGUUAAGACUGGUCAUGUUAAUCAUUUGUUACCACUGAUGUAAGCUGUGGGCUUUUCUGUAACUACCCUAUGUCUGUUUAAUGAAGUUUUCUUCUACAUCCAGUUUGAGUGCUUUUCUUUCUCUCUCUUUCUCUUUUUUAAAAAAUAUUUAAUAUGUAUGAGUAUACUGUAGCUGUCUUCAGACACACCAGAAGAGGGCAUCAGAUCUCAUUACAGAUGGUCGUGAGCCACCAUGUGGUUGCUGGGAAAUGAACUCAGGUCCUCUGGAAGAGCGGUCAGUGCUUAUAACCACUGAGCCAUCUCUCCAGCCCUGAUUGCUUUUCUUAGUGAUAGUGUUUUGAAUUUUUGUGACUACUGCUCUUGUAUACUGAUGCCAUCAGUAACUGGCUUCAUUCUUUUAACAUUGUAGUACACUGAUAUUUGUAUGUUUAACCAACCUUCCAUUCUUGAGAUGAAUCCUUUGAUAGGUUGGACUUCUUGUUGUCUGUCUGUCUGUCUUUUUUUUUUUUCUUUUUCUAAGACAAGGUUUCGCUGUGUAGUCUUGGCUGUCCUGAAACUUGCUGUGGAGACCAGGCUGGCUUGCAAGAGACCAGAGUGCUGGGGAUUAGAGAGGUGUGCCACCACACCCAGUGUGUUUGUGUUUCUAAUGGCUAUAAAUCUAUAUUCUUCCUGUAAUAGUGUUAUGUGUUUUUGGUAUGUGGUAUUUGACUUAGAAUCUGGGGGUGUUAGCUGUUGCUUUGGGGUGCAUCAGAUGCUGUAUUGUGCUUUCAGAGUUGUGUUUUGUAUUCAGUAACAUUUUGUCUAUAGUCCUGCUCAGCCUUCUUUCUAUCCUACCUAUCACUCAGUGUCUUGCAGUGAGUUUCAUGUAGCUAAUGAUUAGUGUACACUUGCUCUGUGCCUUCAGUUAGUACUUUAUCUGUUUUACAUAAUCUAAUCUUCACAACAACUUUUUCAGGGAUGUGCAGUUGGACUUCAUUAGUUACAGGAUAGAGGCUUAUGAGAUGUUAAAUAUGGUUUUAAGGCCACACAAGCUGCUGCUGGAUCUGGAGUUUAAGUUCUUCAUUUCUCGACAUGAACCCCCAAACUCUGCACUACAAGCUGUGCUUAAGAAGGGCUCCUUUGAUCUGGUCUUUGAAGCAAUAGUGUGUGGGUGGGAAAAGUGAAAGGAGUACAGUUACAGUGGCUUAGGAAGGGAAGGAAGCAGGGAUUGUUGUCUAAUUAAGACCCUCUGUGCCAGGGAGGACAGUUAAAGGAGAACUGGUUUUUUUUUUCCUGCACCAGUAAUUAGUUCUUUCUGGAACAGCGAGAUUAACAUCUAAAAUAAUUAGACCAUGCAUAUUGUUUAAUUGGAGGUCAAGGGUGAGGUCUGCAUUGGUUGGAAAGAAAUGUGAAGGAAAGUAGUAAUUGAGCUAAGCUUCAGAAAGAGGAUGGACUUAGAGAUUUAGUAGGCAGCUUGGGUUCUGGGUGAGCUUUAGGAUACAGCCUUGUACCUGGCAAACCUUGGAAGAGUGUCUUUUCAUAGUGAUGGGGAAUGAUAUUACUGCUGUAUUUCAGGGUUGUAGGUCCAAAAUAAAUAGUUUUAACACUGUACACUGUAGAGUGCUGCUUUCCUGAUGGUGGGAUAUCUGUUUUGACUAACGUCCUCAACCUUAACUUGCAUAAAUUUCCACCCUUUUGUAUGCAUAAUAUUGUUGCAACUUGCAAACAAGAUCCCUUCUACCCCUAAAAAUUUAUAUGUCUGUAUUCUAAAUUCAAAGGCAUUUUCUUAGUAAUUACAGUGCCAUUCUCAUAACUGGGGAAACAACACUAACAUUCAUGAUUACUAAUGC
rnacentral:lncRNA from 1 species